CCUACGGGAGGCAGCAGUGGGGAAUUUUGGACAAUGGGCGCAAGCCUGAUCCAGCCAUGCCGCGUGCGGGAAGAAGGCCUUCGGGUUGUAAACCGCUUUCGGCCGGAACGAAAUCGCCCGGGUGAACAUCCCGGGUGGAUGACGGUACCGGAAGAAGAAGCACCGGCUAACUACGUGCCAGCAGCCGCGGUAAUACGUAGGGUGCGAGCGUUAAUCGGAAUUACUGGGCGUAAAGCGUGCGCAGGCGGUCUCGUAAGACAGGUGUGAAAUCCCCGGGCUCAACCUGGAACUGCGCUUGUGACUGCGAGGCUGGAGUGUGGCAGAGGGAGGUGGAAUUCCACGUGUAGCAGUGAAAUGCGUAGAGAUGUGGAGGAACACCGAUGGCGAAGGCAGCCUCCUGGGCCAGCACUGACGCUCAUGCACGAAAGCGUGGGGAGCAAACAGGAUUAGAUACCCUGGUAGUCCACGCCCUAAACGAUGACGACUAGUUGUUGGGGUAGAAGUACCUUAGUAACGCAGCUAACGCGUGAAGUCGUCCGCCUGGGGAGUACGGUCGCAAGAUUAAAACUCAAAGGAAUUGACGG
rnacentral:rRNA from 1 species